rnacentral:snRNA from 1 species
AUCGCUUCUCGGCCUUUUGGCUACGAUCAAGUGUAGUAUCGUUUUAGUGUUUACCGUUUUUUUCAGAGUAGGGUACCAGAUUAUCUGUAGUUUUUGUUAUUUUUAUUACCAUGGCGGCUUCAAGUGAUGGAAGAUUUAUGCCCAGGGUUGGUUUACGCCAUACUGU